rnacentral:rRNA from 1 species
GGAACUUGCCAGAGAUGGCUUGGUGCCGAAAGGGAAUCGGAACACAGGUGCUGCAUGGCUGUCGUCAGCUCGUGUCGUGAGAUGUUGGGUUAAGUCCCGCAACCGAGCGCAACCCUUAUCAUUAGUUGCUACGCAAGGGCACUCUAAUGAGACUGCCGGUGACAAACCGGAGGAAGGUGGGGAUGACGUCAAGUCCUCAUGGCCCUUAUGGGUAGGGCUUCACACGUCAUACAAUGGUCGCUACAGAGUGACGCGAAGCCGCGAGGUGGAGCAAAUCGCAGAAAAGCGACCUUAGUUCGGAUUGGAGUCUGAAACCCGACUCCAUGAAGGUGGAAUCGCUAGUAAUCGCGCAUCAGCAUGGCGCGGUGAAUACGUUCCCGGGCCUU